CAGCAGCCGCGGGAAUACAGAGGGUGCGAGCGUUAAUCGGAUUUACUGGGCGUAAAGCGUGCGUAGGCGGCUUUUUAAGUCGGAUGUGAAAUCCCUGAGCUUAACUUAGGAAUUGCAUUCGAUACUGGGAAGCUAGAGUAUGGGAGAGGAUGGUAGAAUUCCAGGUGUAGCGGUGAAAUGCGUAGAGAUCUGGAGGAAUACCGAUGGCGAAGGCAGCCAUCUGGCCUAAUACUGACGCUGAGGUACGAAAGCAUUGGGAGCAAACAGGAUUAGAUACCCGCGUAGUCCCUGUCUCUUAUAC
rnacentral:rRNA from 1 species